AUGACGACUGCGUUGGUGUCGGAGGAGGCGGAGAUGGACUUAGAGUUGUCGUCUGGCGUCGGGGUGCCCAACUUUGAGUUCGCCUUCAAUUCGGCGGUCUUCUCCAACAUGGUGAUGAAAAUAGAGGUCGUCACCGGCGGCGAUGUCAGCGGAGGAUCUCUCAUAUGCAAUGGCAAUAAGAAAGGGUUUUCGUCCCCCUUCGGGCUCCAGUUUGCCCCUUACUUAACAUGGGAGCAGCCACAAUAUACACUCUAUGGCGCAUGUGGUGUGAUCGGGGUCAAAUGCCCCCUCCUCUUGACCUACCCAGGCCUAGUCAGCCUAGGCCCCGCGUAUUUGAUAGGAGUUGGUGUCAUUUCCUUGGCGCGACGCAAUGCCAUCUGUUUGAUCGUGUUGUUGAAUCCAUCCGUCAUCAAGGAUGGGUCGGAAACAUCAUGCUGUCCUUAA
rnacentral:rRNA from 1 species